rnacentral:lncRNA from 1 species
AUCACCUCCAGGUCACUAGGCUGAAAACCGCUGUCAUUUCUCCUGGAACAAAUAUUCUCUACCUUACUCUAGCACCACAUUAUUAAAUGGAGAUAACAAUAUUUAUGCCCUUCCCAAGGGGUAACAGGGAUGGACAGCUCUCCUGGGUUGGGCCUGCUUGGAUGAGGAAGUGACAAGCAGUGGGGAAACAGGUAGGGAUUUAUGUGUGAGCGAACAGCAGGCAGCUGUCUCCUCGGCAGCGGCUGCCACCGGGAACUACAAGGCAACGUGAAGCCUGUGCUAGAAAAACCCCUCCUGGGCCGGUCCUGCAAGCAGCCAAGAUGCGGUUAAAGAUUCCAAUUCUGAUGGGAUCCCAUGUCUCCUAGGUUACAGCUGAGGACUGUGUUUUCCUUUAUUACAACAGAAAAUGUGUGUUCCCCAGGGACUGUUCAAACAUCUGUAUGAGGGACCUGAUGUCUUUGGGGAACGUUUUCAGUCUACUAUGGAGCACUGUCCUGGGCACAGAAAGGAAUACAAAAGGAUAUAACACACAGAUUCUGGCUUUAAGGAUGUGAUGAUGAAAAUGGAGAAACCCACCAAAGGCAUGUGAAGUGCUGAUGGAAAGUAGCAGCAGAUACCUGUACCUGGCUUAGAGAUGAAGAGGAGAGUUCAUUCUGGGCUUGCCUGUUUCCAUCAUCUAUGACUCUGAGUACAGCCAGAAGUGCUACCAGAAUUCAAAAUAAUGAUAAUGCCUAAUACGGAAUGAGU